CAUACACUUUAUUAUAAAAACUUCAAAAGACAAGCUUGUAUUACUCUUAAAAUUAAAGAUAGCUAUGUUCAAUGUAAUAGAUAAAACCUCCACCAUUUUGAAGACUCUAACGCAGUGGUUCUCAACCUUACUAAUGCUGCGACCCUUUAAUACAGUUCCUCAUGUGGUGGUGAUCCCUAACCAUAAAAUUAUUUUUGUUGCUACUUCAUAAUUGUAAUUUUGCUACUGUUAUGAAUCAUAAUGUAAAUAUCUGAUAUGCAGGAUGUCUUUGGCGACCCCUGUGAAAAGGUUGUUCGAGCUCCAAAGAGGUCGCGACCCACAGAUUGAGAACCGCUGCCUUAGUGAGAUGACUCAUACAAAUCAAAGUAGCAGGAACUUUACCUAUAAAUUAAUAUUCUAAAUUUUCACUUGUAAUAGUAGAUACACUGGUUUAAGAACUGGGACUGCUUAUUAUUGCUUAAGACAGUGGUUCUCAAAAAUCCUUUAACAUCCACAGAUUCUGAUUUAGAAGGUUUGGGCUAGAUCAAAACAUCUGCACUUCUAACAAAUACCACAAUUAUUUUCAUGAACACCAAAAUUGGAAAAUCCCUAGUUUAUGGCUUACUUUGGUUAAAAUGGCUUAUGGAUUAUAUUCAUUGUGGAAAUGAAAAGGUAAGAAAAUUACAUGAUGAACAUAAAA